GCCUUAUAUGGAGUUGGAUGAUUUACUUCUGCUUCUCAUUUUCUAAAUGUAAGCUGACUUUCCUUGCAACAUAAAGAUGGUCAGUCAUCUCCUAUCUACCACAGGGGCUUUUCUAUUGCUGGGCCAAAACUCUUUCUCUAAAGAGCUAGACUUGAAUUACCCACUCUCAUAGGACCACCUGGAUAUGGUCAAGGUGAAGAAGAGCCACCAGUACUAUGGCUGAGCAGAAAAAUAUCCCAGAGAGAGGUUGUCAUAGGAACUGUACCCGAGGAGCAGCUACGCACAUGAUAGAAUGUACCAUCCAAAGAGGAGAGGAAGGAACUGAUCAUGAAGCUACUCUUACCAUCGGUUUUAGGGAACAAAUCUUUCAUGAAUCAUGAAUUUCCUCAUGGAAAUUGUCCUCAGUGACAGCAGCAGGGAGCCCUCUGAGGAAGACACAGUCAUUAUUCAAGUUUUCCAGAUGAAAAGAUGAAGCACAGAAAAGUUGACUUGUUCAAGGUCACAUGGUAAGUGGUAGCGCUGAAACUCAAAUGCAAGGUUGUCUGACUCUAGGGCACUUGGCCUUAGCUUCUCUGCUGGGCUAAACUAGUGGGCAAUCAAUGACUGGUAAUAGUUAUAAAAAUGAUUCUUUGGUUGUGGAAUAGUAGUAGGAGUUUCAAUUGCCUUUAGAUACAUAUGGCUGAAUGUCACUGCCUUUAUUGAUUUUGUUUUUCCCUUGAGCUUAUUUUUUCUGAAACCACACAGAAAUGUGGUCCUACAGGAUGACAAUCACUCUGUCCCAUUUCCCUCCUUACUCCCUAGUGCAGAGGUUCAGGUUGCCCCCAGACAAUUGAUAUUCUCCUAUAGAGCUCUAAAAAACUAAGAAUCUAAGACACCUGGGUAGUUCAGUUGAUUGUGUCAGACUCUUGAUUUAG